rnacentral:rRNA from 1 species
AACGAACGCUGGCGGCAGGCUUAACACAUGCAAGUCAAGGGGGCGUAGCAAUACGCAACCGGCGCACGGGUGAGUAAUGCAUGGGAACAUGUCCUAUAGUGGGGGAUAGCCUUUGGAAACGAAGGGUAAUACCGCAUAAUCCCUGAGGGGGAAAGAUUUAUCGCUUUAGGAGUGGCCCAUGUUGGAUUAGUUAGUGGGUGGGGUAAAGGCUUACCAAGACUAUGAUCCAUAGCUGGUCUGAGAGGACGAUCAGCCACAUUGGGACUGAGACACGGCCCAGACUCCUACGGGAGGCAGCAGUUAGGAAUAUUGGACAAUGGAGGAAACUCUGAUCCAGCCAUGCCGCGUGAGUGAAGAAGGCCUUCGGGUUGUAAAGCUCUUUUAUAUGGGAAGAUGAUGACGGUACCAUAGGAAUAAGCACCGGCUAACUUCGUGCCAGCAGCCGCGGUAA